GAUGAACGCUGGCGGCGUGCCUAAUACAUGCAAGUCGAGCGAACAGAUGAGGAGCUUGCUCCUCUGACGUUAGCGGCGGACGGGUGAGUAACACGUGGAUAACCUACCUAUAAGACUGGGAUAACUUCGGGAAACCGGAGCUAAUACCGGAUAAUAUAUUGAACCGCAUGGUUCAAUAGUGAAAGACGGUUUUGCUGUCACUUAUAGAUGGAUCCGCGCCGCAUUAGCUAGUUGGUAAGGUAACGGCUUACCAAGGCAACGAUGCGUAGCCGACCUGAGAGGGGGAUCGGCCACACUGGAACUGAGAAACGGUCCAGACGCCUACGGGAGGCAGCAGUAGGGAAUCUUCCGAAAUGGGCGAAAGCCUGACGGAGCAACGCCGCGUGAGUGAUGAAGGGCUUCGGAUCGUAAAACUCUGUUAUUAGGGAAGAACAAAUGUGUAAGUAACUAUGCACGUCUUGACGGUACCAAAUCAGAAAGCCACGGCUAACUACGU
rnacentral:rRNA from 1 species